UACAGAGGGUGCGAGCGUUGUCCGGAAUCACUGGGCGUAAAGGGCGCGUAGGUGGCGGGCCAAGUCCAUGGUGAAAGCUCGAUGCUCAACAUCGAGUCGGCCACGGAUACUGGUGCGCUGGAGCACUGUAGAGGCUAAUGGAAUUCCGGGUGUAGCGGUGGAAUGCGUAGAGAUCCGGAAGAACACCGGUGGCGAAGGCGGCUCUCUGGGACGGUACUGACGCUGAGACGCGAAAGCGUGGGGAGCGAACAGG
rnacentral:rRNA from 1 species